rnacentral:rRNA from 1 species
GACGAACGCUGGCGGCGUGCUUAACACAUGCAAGUCGAACGAUGAAGCCGGAGCUUGCUCUGGUGAAUUAGUGGCGAACGGGUGAGUAACACGUGAGUAACCUGCCCUUGACUCUGGGAUAACUGCGGGAAACUGUAGCUAAUACCGGAUACGACCCUCGGAGGCAUCUCCUGGGGGUGGAAAGAAUCUCGGUCAAGGAUGGACUCGCGGCCUAUCAGCUAGUUGGUGAGGUAAAGGCUCACCAAGGCGACGACGGGUAGCCGGCCUGAGAGGGUGACCGGCCACGCUGGGACUGAGACACGGCCCAGGCUCCUACGGGAGGCAGCAGUGGGGAAUAUUGCACAAUGGGCGCAAGCCUGAUGCAGCAACGCCGCGUGAGGGAUGACGGCCUUCGGGUUGUAAACCUCUUUUAGCAGGGAAGAAGCGAAAGCGACGGUACCUGCAGAAAAAGCACCGGCUAACUACGUGCCAGCAGCCGCGGUAA